UACAGGGGGUGCAAACGUUGCUCGGAAUCAUUGGGCGUAAAGCGCACGUAGGCGGUCUGUUAUGUCGGAUGUGAAAGCCCUUGGCUCAACUGAGGAAGUGCAUCCGAAACUGGCAGGCUAGAGUACUAAAGAGGAUCGCGGAAUUCCCGGUGUAGAGGUGAAAUUCGUAGAUAUCGGGAGGAACACCGGUGGCGAAGGCGGCGAUCUGGGUAGAUACUGACGCUGAGGUGCGAAAGCGUGGGGGAGCAAACAGG
rnacentral:rRNA from 1 species